rnacentral:piRNA from 1 species
UAAACAAAAGCUCUUUUAGGUCCACAAUAAU